GACCAUGGCCUGGAGUCUAGCCACGCCCCCCUCCACAGGUACCAGGAAGUGGACGUUGUGCAGCGGCACGGGGUGCGCCAUGGCCUGGGCGUUGUAUUUGUAGUCUAUUCGCAGGUCUGUGCUGUCGGCGUCGCCACGCCAACUCACGGCCAGGUUGAGAGGAGUGGAUUGGAUGCCGUCCGCCGACACCUGAGAGGCAGCGGACCGAGGAUUAGGAUUAGAAGGAGUCAUACAAAACCAUAUAUAGAUGUCUGGGUCCCCCCCCCCCGAACCUACCAGCACAGCAGCUGUGGGUUGGGGAGGACCUGCUGGAGUCGGGUGUAGUUGCUGAUGCUGAAGAUGAGGACGGGCUGAGUGGGAUGGUUGGCAAAGUGCCUGGUGAUGCCUGCAGGGAAGGAGAGCACCAUCUCCCCGGUGAUCUUCACCACACACCUGCACCGGAGGCAGACCAACAUUCUUAGACGUUCUCAUGUUCUACAACAUAUAGAUCAAAGAUCAAAGCGUGUGGAUGGUUUUGGAGUAAUAAAAGUGUUAAAAUAGA